rnacentral:rRNA from 1 species
CCUACGGGAGGCUGCAGUGAGGAAUAUUGGUCAAUGGACGAGAGUCUGAACCAGCCAAGUAGCGUGAAGGAUGACUGCCCUAUGGGUUGUAAACUUCUUUUAUAUGGGAAUAAACUGUUCCACGUGUGGGAUUUUGUAUGUACCAUAUGAAUAAGGAUCGGCUAACUCCGUGCCAGCAGCCGCGGUAAUACGGAGGAUCCGAGCGUUAUCCGGAUUUAUUGGGUUUAAAGGGAGCGUAGGUGGAUUGUUAAGUCAGUUGUGAAAGUUUGCGGCUCAACCGUAAAAUUGCAGUUGAAACUGGCAGUCUUGAGUACAGUAGAGGUGGGCGGAAUUCGUGGUGUAGCGGUGAAAUGCUUAGAUAUCACGAAGAACUCCGAUUGCGAAGGCAGUUCACUGGACUGCAACUGACACUGAGGCUCGAAAGUGUGGGUAUCAAACAGGAUUAGAUACCCUAGUAGUC